rnacentral:tRNA from 5 species
GCCCGGGUGGUGAAACUGGUAGACACGCUAUCUUGAGGGGGUAGUGGCGAAAGCUGUGCCGGUUCGAGUCCGGCCCCGGGCACCA